AAGAGUGAAAUCAGGAUUCCAAAUUUUAACUUAAAAUUUUUAUUGAGGCCAGAAAAUUUUAGGCUUAAACUAGGAUUAGAUACCCUACUAUACUAAAACUUAAGUAAAAACUUGAAUAUUAUAAGGUAAAAGCUUUAAAUUCAAAGAAUUUGGCGGUAAUUUAGUCUUUCCAGAGGAACCUGUUUUGUAAUCGAUAAACCACGAAUAAUCUUACUUGAGCUUGUAUACCGUCAUUAUCAGAUAAUAUUUAAAGAUAAGAUUAUUAAAUUUUUAAUAAAAAUAAAAAUUAGAUCAAGGUGCAGCCUAUGGAUAAGUUAAAAUGGGUUACAAUUAGGUAAACAUAAGAUGAAGUAAACAUUAUGAAGGAGGAUUUGGUUGUAAUGAAAAUUAGUACGAUUAAAAGAUAUAAGCUCUAGAUUAUGUACAUAUCGCCCGUCGCUUUC
rnacentral:rRNA from 1 species